CGCAGCUUGCAGCCGUGCUAGAUCCUUAACCCACUGAGCAAGGCCGGGGGUCAGACCCGCAUCCUCAAGGAAACUAGUCAGGUUCUUAAGCUGAGUCACAACGGGAACUCCAAAAACCAGUUUUUAGAUGGUUGUUUUCCAAACAUUCCAAGCGCUUUAGGACAUUUGCUUUCAAACACCAGAGCAUAUCAGAAUCCCCAGGAGGGCUUGUUAAGAUUUAGAUUGCUGGUCCCACCUCCCCGCCAGAGUUCCUGAUUAAGCAGGUCGGGGGUGGGCCCUAAAAAUGUUCCGUUUUUAACGAGGUCCAGGUGAUGCUGAUGGUGCUGGUUUUCGGGCCGCACUUUGAGAACCAUGGGAAAUAGAAACUGCGUUAGAAAAGAAAGACUGGAGGGCCCAUCCUCAGUGCCCGCCAAGCUGUGUGUGUGCAGCUUCAUCCCAGUGCAGGUGAUGGAUGGGGAGCACGAGCCUAUGUGCUGGCUGGUAGGAGGGCACAAAAGGAGAAGACAGCACCCCAGAACCCCGAGGAAGCCUCGGGAUGGAAGGAGGCAGGGCCUGGGGCUAGGCAGCGGCAAGGUUGCCAGCAGCUGUGGAGUGGCGGAGAGGCGGGGGCUGGGGAGCCUUCACCCUUAUUUGAUCUCUGGCCCAGCUCCCAUCGCCCCCUGCAGCUCAGUGCUGACCUCUGCAAGACUGGAGCAAUAGCAGUGUUUGGACUGCUUGUAUUUGUUCAAAAAGCAGUCCUUUCAGAACAUCCGUGAUCCCCUUUUCAUCCCUCUAACAACAACAAAAUAUUUUGAAGCGGCAGGAAGAAAAUCAUUCCGGAUUUGAGAGCCUUCAGCAGGGUCAUGUGCUCCAAGGCAUAGCCUUCACCACUCCCUGUAAUCUUGUCACCGAUUUUUCUCCACUCCUUUCUUUACCAGCUUAGGUGUCCUGAUGUGACACCUAGAACCAAGGGUCCCAUUUUAUGACCCAAGACGGAAGCUGUCCCGGAAGCAAAACGGUCUCAAACAGCAGAGGGAAAGAUGGAAAGAACCUAGGACUUCAAUGAUUGUCUCGUGCUGCUGAAACAAACCAACUCUGGGAGAGUCCAGCUUCUGGACGUCUUCCAUGAAAUGCAGCUUCUACAGGUCAUAAAGGUGUAAAGAUGGGGCACGCUGGCAGGGAUGGAUCCCUGGCCGGAGAGUCCGAAGCCCCUUCCACCCCUGCAGCUCUUCUCCAAAGGGAACACUCUGUUCCUUUCCUUGGGUGAACCAGACUCAGGCCCCUGCUGGUUCUUGAGUCAGCGGGGAGGCUGACCCAGCAGCCGCCUCCUGGCCAGAAACCAUGCAAGCAAGAAGAGAAUGGAGUGAAUGUUACAAGUUUUCAGAGAAAAAGCUACCAACCCAGAAGUCUGUACUCUGCAAAAUUAUCCUUGAGAAGUAACAGAGAAAAAGACUUUCUCAGAGAAAAAAAAAAAAAAAUUGAGGAAAUUUGUUGCCAACAGAACUGCCUUGGAAGAAAAGCUAAAAGAAGUUACAUAAAGAGAAGGAAAUUACCAUGGGUUGGAAACUCAGCUCUGCAUGAAGAAAGGAAGAGCAUCAAAGAAGGAAAAGUCAAGUUCUUGAUGCUGAGAGGUCCCAGAUCAAGGUACCAGCAGAUUCUGUUCCUAGGAGAACUCUCCUCCUGACUUGCAGACAGGCAGCUUGCUGUGUGUUCAGACGUGGAAAGAGGUGAGCUCUGAUUUCUUCCUCUUCUUAAAAGGGCCCUAAUUCCAUCCCAGGAGCCCCAUCCACAUCACCUAAUCUAAUUAUCUACCAAAAACUUCUCCUCCAGCUACUGUCAUAUUAGUAGCUAGGGCUUCAAAAUAUGGGUUUGGGGAGGACACAUUCAAUCCAUAGAAAACACCACUGGGUUCUUUUUGCCAGGUAUUUUCUAUCAAGUGGAGAAAUGGUUGAAAGUUGUCAGUAUGCAUACAACUGGUUUGGGUGCAGAGCCCAAAUGAAUGGUAGCACAGAGAGGUUUGUUUUCUAACCAGCCUCUUAAAUGAGCAUCAGCUAAAAGGGAAAGGAAAUUGAGGUCCCUCGACAUUAGACCAUGCUUUUGCUGAGGGCAGUGCAGGGUCCUUUAAGGCCACAUUUGGAGACAGCACUAGACCUUUCUUUCCAUCCCUCAUCUGCUCCUCUGGACUCCAAAGCACUGCCUUGCUCCAAAAAGGAAAAUUAAAAACACAAAUUCUCAAGUGGUUUGAUAGUAAUUCAGCCCAGCAAAUUUUACUUUCCAUUAAAAGUCACCAGCUGUCAUGUGCUUCACUUUAAGUGGAAAUAACUUGCUCUCAAAGAACAUUUAUCAAUUGAUGUCACUUAUUAGUCUUAUUUUCUCCUAAUGAAAAAUGGAUUUGCAUUAGUGCGACUUUGGUGACAGGAAACCCCUGGAUGGAGGCUCAACUUGAUGAUCCGCCCCCACCCUGGGGAAAGCUAAUGGCUCUACCAGCCAGCUCAGCGGAUUGACACUGCGGUCAGGGGAAGGGACUCUGGGGGAACAGAGCAGAGCAUUGGCGAUAAUGUUCGAUCCUCUUGCGAGGGAAUGAGCUCACAGUGCCUCUUCCCUUAAAAAACAAAUGAGAAAACUGCGAUUAAAAAUGCUGUAGAGCAGUUCUCUUGUGUUUGCAGCAGGUUGAGGAUCUGGCGUUGUCACUGUGGUGGCUCAGGUCACAGCUGGGGGUGGGUUUGUUCCCUGGCCUGGGAACCUCCACAUGCCGUGGGCACAACAACAACAACAACAAAAUCCUAUAUAGCACAGGGAACGCUAUUCAAUAUCCCAUGAUAACCUGUAUGGGAAAAGGAUCUGAAAAAAAAAAAAAAGACUUUCCAGUGUUGAGUUUUGGCGAGAAGAUUAAAUAUUUUAACGUUAUUAGCAGUUUGAGGGAGGCAGCCCUCCUCAUACGCAUGUGCUCAGAGCCUGUCACAACUGAGACCAGAUCCAGCCAGGGCUCUUCUCAGAAGUGUUACUGGGGACCUGCCCCUAUGUCCAAGUGCCUCGAAUCUCUUGUCUGUGGCCAGUGGAAUAAUCUCUUCAAGAACAAAACAAAGCAAAAACAACCUCUGGACUGAAGCUCCCUGAAGCCUGAACCAUGUCAUGUGCAGCUGUGACUCCGUGGCACCUGACCAAAGAGCUUGUACCCUCGGGAGCUGCCUGCAAGGGAACAGCUCUGCAGACAGAAGGCAGGAGGGUGAAGCCUAGGACCACCCAGCUUUACCUACUGGGCAGCCACGGGCUCUUCUAGGGUCACUCCAGCAAGGUCCCAACCCACUGAAAAUGACCUGCAGGGACGAGAGACAUGGGGAGCUAAUUAAACCAAUGACACAAGGAAACAGGAAAUGAACAACUCCAGCCCUGAGCAGCCUCCCAGUCCUGAGCGCUGGAGGCACCCUUGACCUGUGUCCUCAGAAGGGCUGGAUGGGCUCUCUUGCCUCACCAGCCCCCAACGUGCACAGGACGAGCAUCACACACACCACUGAUGGGAGAGCUCCCGGGGCAAAUGGCUUAGUCCAAACCUGGGGCCAUCACCAGCGCCCUUCCAGCUGAGGCAAAGUUCCCCCAAGACCCCUGUCUCCACGCUCACAGUGAGGGCUCAGAAGUGCCCAAGAGUUUCUGGAUAAUGUCCUCGAUGACAGACACCCAAGCACUGUCCUCCAAGCACAGCGCUGGGGCGGUCGCCAGGGAAGAUGCCCCUGGCAGCUCCCAUCCACGCAGCUGGGGCAGCUCCAGGAACACUAAAUUCUGGCCCCGCUUGCAGCCAAGCCUGGUUACUUUAGAUUCCCUCUCCUCCCCGCUUGGCUUUUCAAGCAGGAGCCAGCCAAGGUAUUCGUCAUAUUUCCUAGCUACCCUGCUGCUUGAUUUAUGCUCCAGUGGGGCAGGGGCAAAGACUCCAGGGGGAGGGGCAGGUGAAGGCAGG